rnacentral:rRNA from 1 species
AUACGGAGGGUGCGAGCGUUAAUCGGAAUUACUGGGCGUAAAGCGUACGUAGGCGGUUUGCUAAGUCAGAUGUGAAAGCCCCGGGCUUAACCUGGGAACUGCAUUUGAUACUGGCAGACUAGAGUAUGCUAGAGGGGGGUAGAAUUCCUGGUGUAGCGGUGAAAUGCGUAGAUAUCAGGAGGAAUACCAGUGGCGAAGGCGGCCCCCUGGAUCAAUACUGACGCUGAGGUACGAAAGCGUGGGGAGCGAACAGAAUUAGAUACCCGCGUAGUCC